GGGUCAGUAGGUUGGUCGUGCCACCGGUACGUACUGGUAUCACUUAUUCCUCCUUCCUGAAGAACCGUAAUGCCAUUAAUUUGGUGUUGCGGGGAAACAGGACUGUUACUUUGAAAAAAUUAGAGUGUUUAAAGCAAGCUAACGCUUGAAUACAUUAGCAUGGAAUAAUGAAAUAGGACGAUCGAUCCUAUUUUGUUGGUUUCUAGGAUUGACGUA
rnacentral:rRNA from 1 species